UCGGCCCGAAAGCUCUAGAAUGCACCCCUCUUCCUCCCCGGGGCCUUCCACCUCCGCGAGUUUUAUGACUUAAAAAAGCCCACAGGCUGGUCUGAAGAGGAAGACAAACAUAAAGAUGAAGUGCUUAAUUCAAGGUCACACAAUGUCGGGGAUGGACCUCCAGAUUUCCUUACUGGUGAGACGUGGUCUUGUAACACAGUGGUUAAGAAUGUGACUUUGGAGCCAGCCUGCUAGGGGCUGAAUUCUGACUCAGCCAUUUACUAACUGUGUGACCUUAGGUCACAGAAUUUUCCACACUCCUUGACAGAGGUGCUUAACCCUUAUCCAUCAGCAUUCUCAGACAGCACCUCCGGUUAGGGACAGUAUCUGACCGUCCGACAUCCCUGCAGCCCCCAUGUGUCACACAGACUCAGCCUCAGGUAGAUGGUUUCCGUAGAUGGUGGCUUUCUUUGGACCCUUGACAUCAACCAGUUACUAUUUGACUCUUCUGCAGAACCCCAUGUUGACCCCUGCUUUGAGGUGGCAGAGUUAACACUACUCUUCGUUAUAAGCUCUCGUCUGGGGCAACUCAGAAGAACGGGACCAGAUGUGCAGAGGUAAUGAAUACCAGGGAAUCAGGAAACCACUGGAUCAGUUCUUUGAGCCACAGAACAACACUCAUCCCAGCAGCUGGGAAGCUAUCUGCAAAAGUCCAUCUGCAGAAAGGGCUUCCUGGUCUUGCGUGUGGCUGGGCCAUUUCUCUGGAUGCAGGUUUUUCAUUAUACAGUCUUCUCAAAGAACCACCUGCUCUCAACACCUUCUCGGUGACUCCAUUUCCCCUCCUCUGGGCUCCUGGAAUGCCACAAUGGCCCCACCUUAGCCAGGCAGCUGUGAUGAGAGGUGUUGACCCAACUGCCUCUCUGCUGGCUCACUGAAUCAGGUGGAAGGGGCUGGGGACAGCACAGUCUUGCAUUGUGGUUGGGGACCUGGGCCAUCCAGAGGCAGGACUGUCCAAAGGCAGGGUACUGCUGGGAUUCCGCCAGGCACUGGGUGAUGCAUGGCAUAGGGAGCUGAAGAGGGACAGGCUCUUGGCCAGGAAAAACAGCCCCAGAGCCACAGGUGUGCCAUCGAGUCUUCCUCCUCUCCCAUCCUUAAUCACUCCUGUUUGGUGACAGCACACAGCUAGGCCUGGAGCCCAGCAAAGAGCCCCUGGGUCCCAGAGGAAGUUGUUCUGGGGGCUGGAGACAAUCACAAAUGCCAGGUUUGUGAGCCCCAGACUCUGGUUCAUAGCAAGAGGCAGACUUGUGAACAAACCACCAGAUCACACCGU
rnacentral:lncRNA from 1 species